UACAGAGGGCUCAAGCGUUGUUCGGAUUCAUUGGGCGUAAAGGGUGCGUAGGCGGCGAGGCAAGUCGGAUGUGAAAUCCCGGGGCUCAACUCCGGAACUGCAUUCGAUACUGCUUUGCUAGAGUACUGGAGAGGAGACUGGAAUUUACGGUGUAGCAGUGAAAUGCGUAGAUAUCGGAAGGAAGACCAGUGGCGAAGGCGAGUCUCUGGACAGUUACUGACGCUGAGGCACGAAGGCCAGGGGAGCAAACGGG
rnacentral:rRNA from 1 species